rnacentral:lncRNA from 1 species
UUACAGAUUCUUUUUUUGGGUAAGUUUCUUCUGUGGUUUUUAUACAAUGAAAAAGGGUGAUUGGAAAAGUGAAAGAUUUAUUUAGGAACGUUGAGACAGGAGAUUGCCUUACCCUUUGCUUGGUUACUUCAUUCAUAAUGGUAGGCGACCAUUGCUGGAAAAGGCUAAGUUAUAACCUAAAAUGGUUGUAGGAGACCAUUCUAGAUUGGGUGGUAGUAUUGGAAGUCUUAAGUGCUCGCU